CUACGGGGGGCUCCAGUGGGGAAUAUUGCACAAUGGAGGGAACUCUGAUGCAGCAACGCCGCGUGGAGGAUGACGCAUUUCGGUGUGUAAACUCCUUUUAUAUAGGAAGAUAAUGACGGUACUAUAUGAAUAAGCACCGGCUAACUCCGUGCCAGCAGCCGCGGUAAUACGGAGGGUGCAAGCGUUACUCGGAAUCACUGGGCGUAAAGCGCAUGCAGGCGGUUAAAUAAGUUGGAAGUGAAAUCCUAUGGCUCAACCAUAGAACUGCUUCCAAAACUGUUUAACUAGAGUCUGGGAGGGGAAGAUGGAAUUAGUAGUGUAGGGGUAAAAUCCGUAGAGAUUACUAGGAAUACCAAAAGCGAAGGCGAUCUUCUGGAACAGUACUGACGCUGAGAUGCGAAAGCGUGGGGAGCAAACAGGAUUAGAUACCCGUGUAGUC
rnacentral:rRNA from 1 species